rnacentral:lncRNA from 1 species
UUGGAUGACUAGGUUGGGUAGUGUGUUAUAUUCUAAGAGAGAGAGAGAGAGAGAGAGAGAGAGAGAGAGAGAGAGAGAAUGUCCCUUUAAUACGAGAUAACAAAGAUCAAAGAUUAGGGGACAGUGUAGCUUGUCCAAGAAGAUGAAGCUGAGCUUUGAGUUCAGUCUGCUGGGAUCUAGGGCCCCUUUCUUUUCACUACACUAAGGCAGCUGAAAUGAGUAGAGGGGAGAAAAAAGAAGAUUUGAACUGAUCUAAAAUCAGGUCUGUCACCUGCCAAAUGAAGGGUCUGGGCCAGAGAAAAGGAUGUCAGUUCGUGGGGUUGGACAGCUUCAGAGAGAACUUGUUCUACUGAAGGAGAUCUGCCUCAGAUCCGUGUCACUUCUUAGAGGUGCACUCACCGAGUAAUUCAAGCUCCCUGGGUAAAGUUCAAGCCAGGCUGGUUGAGAGUUCAAGACCAGCCUAGGGGUUUGCUGUCCUAAGUAACAGUCAGUUCCAACCCCCAACUGCUGCCCGAUAUGUAGCUUCAGCCUGGCGGAUGAUGUCCUCACAGAGCCCAGUAACUGUCAGAGCACGCAGCUGGGGGAGUGCUGAUCUCAGUGACUCCAGAGUCUCCUUCCCUCUGCUAACCCGACCUGUGUGCUGUGGCUCCCAUCUGUCUUCCCUUUGCUGUUUAGUGGGCCUCUCAGUUCUCUAUCCUCUACAUCCAGGGCCUUCUCAUCUUUCACCUUGAACAGGUACCAUGACCUCUUAAGAGGAUUUCUUGACCCUCUUAAGAGGAUUUCUGUCCAGGUGACUCUCGGUUCUAAUCCAUUCCUAAUCUUCUCACAGAGAAAGUGGGUUGUGACGACUUCCUGCUUAGCCCUUCUGCUAAUCUCCCUACAAACUAAAAUCACCGGUGGCUCCUUGUCCUCCUGCACGGACUUUUCCUGCGCUGGUUAAAUGAGUGCUGUGUCCUUUCACAUCUUAAUGAAAGCUCUCAGCUCUUUGCCAGUGUAGUGGUUUGAAUGAGAAUGGCCCCUACGGGCUCUUAUGAUUGAAUGGCUAGGUCCCUAGUUGGUGGAACUG